AGACGUCUACAUUAGAUACCCCUGUAGUCCCAGCCGUAAACUAUGCGCGUUAGGUGUAUCGGUGACCACGAGUCACCGAGGUGCCGAAGGGAAACCGUGAAACGUGCCGCCUGGGAAGUACGGUCGCAAGGCUGAAACUUAAAGGAAUUGGCGGGGAGCACCACAACGGGUGGAGCCUGCGGUUUAAUCGGACUCAACGCCGGGAAGCUCACCGGAUAAGACAGCGGAAUGAUUGCCGGGCUGAAGACUCUGCAUGACUAGCUG
rnacentral:rRNA from 1 species